AGCCGGAACAUUAUCUCAGGACAUUCUGAGGGGGAAAUAAUGGUAGCCCUCGCUUGAAGCCACCAUUCCCUGCCCCCGCCCCCAUAAAUGCCCAGGAAUGACACUAUGCCUGAGGCAUAUUAGGAAACAACAAUGGGAUUCAGCUACCUUAAGCAAUUCCUCAGUAAAGUCGUUUCUAACAUUUAAUUUAAAAACAGAUCUGCUGUGCCAGCUGCCAGAAAGCAAGCUCUGCUAAAAAAUUGUUUCGUUUGUAUGUAGAGAAAUUGCUUAAGAGGUUUGUGAGGGGUAUCUCCUUAAGUCUAUAAGAGGACCCAACUCCUUGAAAGAUUCCAUCAAUGAACAUUUUUACACAUCACUUGGAAAGACAGGCGAACUAAUGCCAGUGUCCUGGAAGAAGCAAAAAUCACCAGUGUCAAAGCAAUGAUUCUUCAACAUCAACCUUGUUGGACUGGUCAUGUUGUUCUGAUGCCUGAUUAUCGUCUUCCAAAGCAACUACUCUAUUCCAAACUAAAAAUUAGAAAGCGUAAUGCUGGUGGUCAACAAAAGAGGUAACACUGGGAAACAUUGGCCUGCAGGCGCUCCAGUUGAAGAACAGCCUUUACCAAAGGUGUCAUGGACUUUGAAGAUGCUCAAACUCAGGACGAAAGAAGAAACAUGCUAAGAGGAAGGCACACUUGGCAAACCCUCACCGUGAUCAACUCCUGCCCGGAAACCUAUGUCCCCACUGUGGAAGGAUGUGUGGAUCCAGAAUUGGCCUCCAUAGUCACUUAUGGACUCACUGUUAAGACCAUGUUCAUGGAAGACAAUCUUAUAUGGCUACAAGUAAUUGCCAAAGAAGAAGAAGACUUCACAAUUACACAAGUCAGAGGGUUCCAGGCAUAGCCCCAACUCUCCAAGCAAGCAAACGAACGAGAAAGAGAUAUCAUCACAAUUCAAGGACACAUUUCAGUCAAGCAAAAGGAUGAGGGUGGGGUGGCGUGUGGUCAGUGAGGGGCAAGGCCAGGGGUGUCCUGAGGGACAGACAGACAAGACAGGAAGGCCACAUAUCACCCCAAGAAAUUUCGCUACAAACAACGGACCUCAGCCCCAGCUUUACUCCCCAAUCAUCCCUAUGCCAAUUAUUGAGCUAAAAGUUUUCAUCUGAAAGAACAGCAUAUUAGUAAGUAAAGUACAAGAGCAUGCCUACUUGAGUUUCGGGUGAAGAGGGCGACACUGCACAUUUACGCUUCACAAAGUUUCCUACAUGGCAGAUAUCCAUUGAUGUUUUUCUUCAUACGAGAGAUGGCUGACCAAUGGGAGGAAAAAAUCGUUUCCUUGCUGAAAACAACAAAUUGAUCAUGCAUAAGUGUAACUUGAAAGGCUGUGGACCUCUAGCUCGUCAAAUGGUCGUGGGCUGCCCCCUGCUGGCCAAAUGCUAGCCAACCCAAACACACACACAAAACCUUUAGGUGGCAAAAUCAUCCUCAGAUCGUCUUUAAACAAAAUUACUUUUUUUCGAAAAGUGUCCCCCCGGAAAAUACAACAAACAGAUUCUCUCAGCUAAGACAAAAAAGACCUAGUAGAGCUGUAUUUGCCCAUUUUCAGCCGCCCAAUUCACUUAUCCCACCUGCAAUUAUGUCAUUAUGAUGUCAUUAGCACCACAUGUUUACACGCUCAGGAAAUUGCUAAAAUUAAAUCAAGUGUAAAAGAGAGAUGUGCUGGAGCCUAAAAGCUACACCUGUUACCAUGGAUGUGAAGCAGCUGGCUGCGUUUAUUCAGUGUGAAGAAAAUGCAGUCUUCAAAUGCACAAAAGAAACUCUUCAAAAUUGCAGUCUUUGUCUAUCCCCAAAUGUUGAGCAAUGGCUUAAACCAGGGGCAGGCAACCUCCCCCCACCCCCUGAAGGUCACAUUGUCUUGGGGUUAAUCUGUCAGGGGCCAUGUGGUGGUGGUGGUAGGAAGAGCCAGAGUCAAGGAUGGAUGGAGUCAGAGACUGAAGUUUUCUGGGUUAACUAAUCUGGAAUAAAGACCUCUCACCAUGGCUACCUCAGAUAAGAGUCUGCAGACCUAUUUCAAGUGGUCUAUACUUGGCUGUAAGCCCAGAGUGGUUUAACUAUCCAUUCCUCUUCAUAGGGAACUCUGAGAAUUGUUGCUCUGUGAAGGAAAGACGAGGUCUCCUAACAACUUUCAGCACCUGUAAUGAGCUACAGCUGCCAUAAUUCUUCAGGGGAAGCCAUGGCCAUUUAUUCUAGUGCUUUAAAUGUAUGGUGUGCAAAACAAAAAGUUUCAUUAUAUGAAUUAAACCAGAGGUUAGUACUAGUGCACUGUGAACAGAGAUACCACCUGAGCAUUACAUUAUUUCAUGAUACUAAACCAUUUGACAUCAGUUUCCCAGCUCUUAAACUUGUCUGGGACUUUAGAUGUGUAACUAAGGUGAACAGUGCUCUCUCUUGCGCCAGUUAUGUAUGAUCUCUUUGAACAGUAACAUUAUCUUUUCACACACUGGUACUCUGAGCUGGCUCAAGAUCUCUUACCGCCCGAGGCAAAGAACGCUAUGAAUGAAGAUGAUUGAAUCUGGACUGCCAAUUGAAUUUUACGCCAACAGUGUAAGAUUUCAGUUGAUUUAACAUUUCUGCAAACUUUCAAUCUGAAUAGGAUUUUCCCUAGGGCAAUAUAUUUAUUCCUUGUCGCGAGGCGGUCCUGUAGGCUUUGGUGAGGCAGCUAAAUAUAUAUAUUUUUACUCUGCAAGCAUGUGACAAAAAUUGCAAGUGUGCCAUAGCAAAAUGCCAGGGAGCAGAGACUUCUGCAAGCCUUUCUACGCGCCUGCAAGUGCAACUGUCACAUCACCUAAUCCACGUUUUGUGUGUCCCAAUUUUUUGGUCAGUUCUCUCAAGUUUGUGUGAGCUGACAAAUCAAGACAGGCCAGUGAAACUCAUCUGGAGCAGCAGCAGCAGCAGCAGGAACAACAACAAAAGCCAGAGGGUUUUAUUUCCUCCUGGCCUUUCACCACAAAUGAAGAGCGGCAAUGAAAGGGCACAAGCCAGUUUUGCUCCGAUAUUGAACAGCUUGCAAAUUCUUACCACUAUAAUCAGUGAGAUCCUGCUGGGCUCCCUGUCAGGCGCCACAAUGGGUAUAAUCUAGCACCUGCUUAGAACAAAACUUUGAAGUAAGGCUAGAUGCCCAUAGAAUUAAAAAAAAAACCAGAGAGAGAGAGAGGAGGAUGGCGACAAAAGGGGGAGGGCAUUUAGGGACAGCAGUGACAAGUUUUUUUUCUUCCUUCACAGCAUGGAAGCGUUAGCUACAGUGACAGAUCCAAAUCGCCUUUUUGUUCUCCUGUUUCCAAAAUGCAGUCUGUCAAUAUCGAAGUAUAGAAUUAUACAUUCAGAUUUUAAAUAUGACUCCUCCCCAUCUUUGUCCUGUUCCCAGCAGGAGACCCAUCUCCCUGACAGGCUCCUUUCCUUUAAUCUCCUUGUUUUAGAGCAGGUUUAGCCAUUAUGGACUAAUUGAAGACAUUGCAUGCUACUUACCAGGUUUUUUUUUGCAGGGAGCCGCAUGAUAGGAAGGCUUGGCCCUCUUUAUUGCAUGUACACGCCAUGGGGAACGGUGGCAGGCCUUGUUUUCUCUCUCAUCAAUAUGAAUGUUUAACACAAACACCCUUGCUUUUUUCUUUUUUAAAAGUAGUUUCCCCUCUGCUUGUUGCAGACAAAAUGACUCCACCAGUCUGUAACAUGUGAAGCGGCCUUUCGGUUAAACCCAUGCCAACCUCCUGCUAGAAUGGUCACUGGAUUAAUUAAUCUCUUCCAGAAAGUACUGGUGCACAUUUAUAAACAUGUAAGCAUCCAUGCCCUAAGGCAAGUGUUUCUCAAACUUGAGUCCCCAGCUCUUGCUGGACUACAUCUCCCAUCAUCCCUGACCAUCUCAAACAUGAAUGAUGCUGUUUGGGGCUACACCAGGAUCCACUCAGAGAAUGUGGCUGUUUAUUAGUACAGUAUAUCGAAUUCUAAAGGUUCAAAUAAAAACAUGUUCUUUUAAUUUAGCGCAUAAGUCUUUAUGGCAUUUGUUUUGUAUGGGUCACUGAAAGCUAGACUUUUCAAAGCACUGAUAUGCAUAGCUCAGUCAUUAUUUAGAUUUGAAAGCAGAUGGAAAAGCUGGCCUAAUUCUUUAGCAGAGUUCCAUGUAUAUUCUUUUUGACACAAGCUGGGAGUGAAUGGAUUGUGAAAUAGGCUUGUGUUCAGGCUGCAGCAAAUUCAAGAACUUAGUGUAAUCCACAGAUAUAAAAUGAGUCUUUGUAUACAAAUUGACUAUGACCCUUUGUUCUGCAUGAUAUCAUGGAAGCCUUGGAUUUUAACGUCUACCAUGCGAGUGAACCCCAGUUCUACAGAAUUGGGCUGCUGGACAAACUCAGUACAAUAUUCCUUCUGGUUCUAAGAGCAAAUAAUUCUUCAGCGUCGCUGGAAUGAAAAGUAAAGGGAUCCCUUUGUGGCAGCGAUCGAACAAUAUUCUUCGAAUAGCACAUCUGGCUAAAUGCUUGAGCGAUCUUGGUGUGUUUUCACAUACCUCAAACAGAGAUUCGUAGAAUUCAUUAUACAUCUGCAAAAGCAAAAUAAUGCACAAAUAAUGUGGUCAAUAUCUUUCUCUCCAUGGAAAAUCUCUUUCCAGGAAAAGUAUGGAGAAGAUGUGUCAUUACCUUCUCUGUGCAAAGUGCAGUCUUUUGCCAUUAUUCUGUUUAGGGUUUGCACAAGACAUUUUGCUGCCUGAGUCAAGACACCCACACCCACCUCCCCAUUCCAUCUGGACUGGCAGUUCAGUUUUAUUUCAGCACUGGAGACAUGGCAGAACCCUCCACCACACUUAAGGGCAGCAGGCACAAAUUUUUCUGGUCUCCAACACAUCUACAUUGCCGCCAUUCCCCAGCAUCUGCUGCCUUAAGGCAGGUGGCUCACUAUGUCCAAUGGUAGGGCCAGCUCUGACCUAUUUGAAUAGCAGCCUAAUAGCCUAAUAUGUGAGACUGUAUCUUUCUAUAUCCCCUGCCCACCGUAACUUCAGCUAAAAGAACAACUGAAAAUUGCUCUGGAUAUCACAUUCCUCCCAUGCAAUUUGAUGUCUCCUAACUAAGUAGGACAGAGCUGGCCAAGUCAGAGCAAUGUUCUGAAGCUGUCACUCAAUAAAAUAACUUUUUUUUUAUAUGAUACUGAAUAGGAUCAACUGUAUAUUAUGAUCCAGGCUUGUUCAAUAACUACAGUUUAAACCAGAGGCAGCCAAGACAGUGUCCUUCAGAUGUUGCUGGUGAUCCCUGACUAACCAGAGUUCUCCAACUUUCAUUUCCUCCUAAACGUUCACUUUCACAUAGAACCAGAUUAAAGUGCUUAUAUACAGACAGGGACGACAGAGGACAAGAUGGCUGGACAGUGUUCUCAAAGCCACCAACAAGAGUCUGACCAAACUGCAGGAGGCAGUGGAAGACAGGAGUGCCUGGCGUGCUCUGGUCCAUGGGGUCACGAGGAGUCGGACACGACUAAACAACAACAACAACAUACAGACGUUACCUGCAUGCUUUUUUAAUCAGCAACUCAAAAUCAUUAAGUGUUUACCUCAAAGACAUCAUCAGCAUGGAAAGAAAGAAAGAAAGAAAGAAAGAAAGAAAGAAAGAAAGAAAGAAAGAAAGAAAGAAAGAAAGAAAGAAAGAAAGAAAGAAAGAAAAGAAAAGAAAAAAAGAAAGAAAGAAAAGAAAAGCCUGUAAUCAAAUUUAGAAAGGAAAAACAUUGACCUGAGAUCUGGGCUUUACAAGACCCAGAUGGCAGAAAACCUCGCAAAGACAUGCAAGAGCAUUUUUGCCAAACAUUAAGGGCACCUGCAAGGCCUGGUGUUGUGAAACCAGCUAAUCCCCCAAACUGAAUUAGGACAUGUUUAAAAUCUAUCUGAAAGGUGGAAGACCACAAGCUUCCAUUCACGCAGCUUCUCAUCUCUGGUCUAAACAGAUGCAUAUGUAUGUAAUACGUAGACACAAGCUUUCACCUUAUGGAAUUGUGGAGGAUAUAUCCUGGCAGCUCCAUAAUUGAGAAGCAGCUGGAAACAGAAUUCUGGCUGGGCACUCGGCCGCACACCUGUUACUUUCAGGACAUACUGCAAAGGGCCGCAUCCGUUGUCAUCCAUGAAGUUAGCCUCAGCUCCCGCCUCGAGUAGCAUGUCCAACAGAACGCCGUCACAGUUCCAAGCAGCCUUGUGGAGAGGCGUUCGGAAAUCCUCGUCUCGUGAAUUGACGUUGGCUUUAUAGUCGAUCAGCAUCCUACAGAUCAGGUGGUGAUCUGUGCUGUAUGUCUGUUCCUUGCCAUUGAGGGCCCAAUAGACUGCACAGGCCAGAGGUGUUUCUCUGUGGGCAUUUUGACAGUCAACCCCAGCUCCUUGUUCUACAUAAAAGGCCACCAUUUCAGGGAUACCACAACGAGCAACAGUGUGGAGGGGAGUUUCCUCUUCUUGGUUGUUAGUCCUUAUAUUCACAUCUGCACCUGUUUGAAGGAAAAGAGAGAGAGCACAUUGGAAAGAGGUUUUAUUUUUAUUUUUCCACGUUAAAGACACAUACCAUUUUUUCUGUCUAUAAGACACCCCUGUGUAUAAGAUGACCCCUAUUUGGGGGGACUCCAAUGGGGGGGGAGAUGCCCCCCAUGUAUAAGACGCCCCCAAAUUUUGGACAUUAUUUUUAGUGGAAAAACCUAGUCUUAUACACGGAAAAAUUUGGUAUAUACUUGCUGAGCUGUAUGAAAUAAAUAACAGCAAUUUUACAGGAGCAAAUGUUUUUUUCCCCACGACUGCCACCUGACUACAGAAAUUUUAAUUAAUUGCACGAGUUUUAAUCAAUUAAUUAAUCAGCUAGUUUCAUUUGCAUGUAUUUGCAUUUGUUGAACUGUGCAAGAAACAUACUUCCCCUGAUUUUAGAUGAUGCAGCCAUGUGUUGCAAGCAGGGAUAAUCUUGGGCAAGGAAUUCCUUGCUUUCUGACAGAAAAGAUUUAAAAUAUACCUCUUUUAUGAUGGUGCUUGCAAUCUACAGUUUUUCUAUGAGUACGUGCAUGGAUUAUUAUUAUUUGUUUAACUAUGCAGCCUAAUUAACUGCGGGAACCUUUUUAGUUGAUUAAAAUGGAUAAAUCAACUUCCUACAUAAAGACACAAUUAGGAAUACCCCCCCCUUAUGUUGUGUUUUUAGGAUUGUCUGUCUCAAAACAAAUAAGGAAGAUUGAGUGUUUGAAUGCCUUCCCACCCCCACCAUCCCUAACCGAGGAAGUUGGAAAAAUGGGUUUGGCACAACCUUAAGCACUCUUAUAACAAAGAAUAUUUCUAAAUUUCCGAUUCUGGUCUAGAAGGGGACCAUAUAGCGUAUCACUCCAAAAGAGGGAAUGCAUCUACCUGCUUGCCUGUCCACUCUCCAGGAAAAAAAGAGGACACCUGUUUGCAUAAAAUGUCCAUAUUAUUUAUUGAUUUAAUUUAUUAAUCUCCUUCAAUGAUACAACUUGAGGCAAUUUUACGAUGCAAUAAAAAUGUAUGUAAAACAGUUGCAUGUGUAAAAAACCAAAACCCAGUUAAAAACAAUUACUGUAUCUUUUUAAAAACACUAGUUUCAAAUCCAAUACAGAUGCCAAUUGGGAUAAAAAAAAUAUCCACAUAUGCUAAGCAUUAUAUGUUAAUACAUAUACUGUACCCUAGUUAAUGUAUACAUAUAGAUGCAAAUUUAGGAAUGAUUACUGUAAUUUAGACUGAAAUGCAUCUCACCAUAGUGGGAAAGACUGGGUUUUUUUUCUCUGACUGUUGUCCAGAUGCUGCGACCAGUUGAUGGGCAACUUCAGGGCCCCUCCUUCUUGGGGUUCAUUAUCUUUGAACCUGACUUGGACUGGGGCAGCCCUUCCAAUAAAUGACACAUGGUCACCCUGCUCAAGUCUAUUACACAUAAAAGCACCUGUAAAUAUCAAGUAAAGGUAAAGGGACCCCUGACCAUUAGGUCCAGUCGUGACCAACUCUGGGGUUGUGGCGCUCAUCUCACAUUAUUGGCCGAGGGAGCCAGCGUACAACUUCCAGAUCAUGUGGCCAGCAUGACAAAUCCGUUUCUGGCGAACCAGAGCAGCACAUGGAAAUGCCAUUUACCUUCAAGCUGUAGCGGUACCUAUUUAUCUACUUGCACUUUGACGUGCUUUCGAACUGCUAGGUUGGCAGGAGCUGGGACCAAGCAACGGGAGCUCACCCCGUCGCGAGGAUUCGAACCGCCGACCUUCCGAUUGGCAAGCCCUAGGCUCUGUGGUUUAACCCACAGCGCCACCCGCGUCAAGUAGCCAGGCCCAAAUGUAGGUUUUCAUGUGCUGCAAUCACACCUUCACAUCUUUUGCUGAAUAUACACAGCUAGAUGUCACGUGUACAGUCAUGGGCUGCAUGCUAUUUUCUAUACAUAAAGGCGUCCUGCCUAAAAUCUUGUCCAGCUCAGAGCGGCCUUCAGAGGCUUGCAUAAGUCACCAUAUAUUUCACUUGAAACAACAUCCCCAUCUAGUGGACAAUCAGUAUAUGCACCCCAUGUGUCAGUGAGACUUUUAUGCUGUCUCUGGUGAAGUUGAAGGUGUGUGAGUGUCUUAGAAUCAUAGAGUCAUAGAAUUGUAGAGUUGGGAGGGACCGCGAGGGUCAUCUAAUCCAACCCCCUGCGAUUUGGGAAUCGUUUGUCCAAUGUGGAGCUUGAACCCACGGCCCUGUGAGUCUCAUACUCUACCAACUCAGCUAUCCCCAGCUUGUGAACUUUUAUUGUUGAUUUUAGUCAUUAUUAACAGUGCUUUAACAAUGGCUUGCUGCCAUGGGAAUAUUUACCGAUGAGCAGCUAUCUAAUCUAAUUACUACUAUUACUAGCACUACAAUUAUUAUUAUUACUACUAUUACUACUACUACAUACCAGUAGUAGCAGUAGUAAUAUAAUUUUUGUGUUUUAUGUUGUAAACUGCCCUGUGAUUCUCAGAUAAAGGGCAGUAUAGAUUUAUUAUUAUCAUCAUUAGCACAUGUUUCCUGGUCCUAAAACCACUGCUCUUCUUGGAGAACAGGGCAACUCUCAAGAAUACAGAAACUGACCCUCCCUUAUAUACAGGGUUUCUCUCUCUUUUACAGUAAAUAUGCUGCCUACUGAUUUCAUGCAGAAGUUUCCACAUGCUUUUAAAAAAAUCUAAAAAACAGCUUUGCACCAUUUGUGCAUUUAAGCACAGCUGAUUUUAAUCCGUUAAAAAAAAACUUUAAAUCAUCCAAAAAGGCAUCGUCGUCCCCCAUAUAAUUGGGCAGCAGUCAUGAGUCCUUUAAGGACCCAGGUGGCGCUGUGGUUAAACCACUGAGCCUAGGGCUUGCUGAUCAGAAGGUUGGCAGUUCGAAUCCCUGUGACGGGGUGAGCUCCCGUUGCUCGGUCCCAGCUCCUGCCAACCUAGCAGUUCGAAAGCACAUCAAAAUGCAGGUAGAUAAAUAGGAACCGCUACAGCGGGAAGGUAAACGGCGUUUCCAUGUGCUGCUCUGGUUUGCCAGAAGCGGCUUUGUCAUGCUGGCCACAUGACCUGGAAGCUGUAUGCCGGCUCCCUCGGCCAAUAACGCGAGAUGAGCGCACAACCCCAGAGUCGGUCACGACUGGACCUAAUGGUCAGGGGUCCCUUUACCUUUUACAUGAGUCCUUUAUUUCUGAAGUUCAGAUGGGGCAUGUUUGCUUACGUAGCACCCAUGCAGAAGACGGAAGGAAGGAUCUGUUAGUGUGGGGGGGCACCCCAAAAUAGCCCAAUGAAGACUGAGCUUGCUCAGUGACAAUGGAAUGUGGACUGACUUUUGCGGGGAGAUGGAAUGGAGUGGCUGAAUAAAAUCGAGCCACACUGCAACAAUUUGUUGCAAAUCCCUGUAGUUCAUGAACAAAGAAAAGUAUGUUUCUUGUCUCAGAACUAUUGUUUUUCUCCAUUUGCAGCUGGAGGUUUCAUUUGCAACAAUGCUUAAAAACGCAAGGAGGCUACAACUAAGAAGUGAAGGGAAACCAGAACUGGUGAAAAUGCAAGUUUAGAUCGAUCAAGCAACUAAAAUUAUAUGAUUCAUUGACUAAGAUUUUUUUAAAAAAAAAUCCAGUGACACUAAUGUAAAGGUUUAAACAUUCCCUUCUAUUUCAUUUGCACCUGAAGAGUCCAGUGUUGUUGUUUUUCUCUCUCCUUUCAAGGUACGUAGUUCCAUAUUGCUUUAGGAUGAAUACUUGCUCUACAAAGUAUUUUUCGUACUGAAAGUAGGUCACACUCAGAAUGUAGCAUUUCAGCUCACGCCGCAUUUUUAAGGAGCCCCUUGGACUUUCCCACAAUCCCUCAUGGCAGCAAUCUUAGUCUUGCUGUCAGCAUUAUCAGCAUCAUGUGGGAUAAACAUGACACUGUUAAUUUAGCCUUUUACUAAAUGUAAUAAUGCAUAUCUUAGGGAACAAGGGACUCCUAACAAUUCUCAGCACCCUUAACAAGUGAAAGCUCCCAGGAUUUUUGGGGUGGGGUGGGGGGGUGCCAUGACUGUUUAAAAGUGCCUUGAUAGUGUUUUAUAAGGAUAAUGCAAAGGGGGCUCAAGCCUUAUCUCUCUUCUUAUCUCCUGUAUUUGAAGACAAAAUGUCACUAUAUUUUGGUAAUGAUAAAAAUGUGCAUAGAACCAUGUCAAAGAAAGAUACCAUUUUUGGCUGCCCGUGCAAGGCUCCCAGCUUUAUCUGAAUAGGCUGCUAUGCAGAACUCUCCUAUAGAGUUUGGAUUUGAUAUCCCGCGUUAUCACUACCCGAAGGAGUCUCAAAGCAGCUAACAUUCUCCUUUCCCUUCCUCCCCCACAACAAACACCCUGUGAGGUGGGUGGGGCUGAGAGACUUCAGAGAAGUGUGACUAGCCCAAGGUCACCCAGCAGCUGCAUGUGGAGGAGCAGAGACGCGAACCCAGUUCACCAGAUUGAGUCUACCGCUCUUAACCAUUACACCACACUGGCUCUCUAUAUUUUGAUAGCUAACUUAUCAGGGAGAAAGAAAGCAAAACUCGUCCCUGGCAUGCUAGCUUUCUAGUGACAAUGACUUCCCCACCACCACCGUGUGGAGGGCUAACCCAUGUCGUUCUAUCCUCUGCACUCCAAAGGGCUACAGCGCGGGUGGCCUGCAAUUGGACUUACCUCUCCAGAUUAACUGCUGUGCGCAAGGGAUGGACAGCUUUGUCGUACAGAAAUGCAGUGGCGCAAGACCGCUCAGCGAAUAGCAGUUGGUUUUCGCUCCGUGGCUGCAAAGUAUCUUGAUGCAAUCCAGGUUACCCACUUCGCAUGCUAUGUGGAUUGCUGCUUUGCCAUUGGGCCGGCAGUUGAUUGUCGCUUUGUGCUUCAGCAGGACUCUCAGGCUCUCCAGGUGCCCGUACAGAACAGAUAAGUGGAGCCCAGUGGCCCAUGAAUGCUGCAGUUUAUAGCUAGGCAGCCAGUACCCUGUUGUUGUUGUUUUUAAUAUAUAAAAAAUGCACAAGUAGGUAAGUACAUGAUGACCCUUUCGAAAGCAUCAUUCCCCAAACAGUGAACAGUUAAUAGAAAUAUUGGCCUCUGGUAGGUAGGAUUAACGCUGCCAUGGCCUGUGACUUGAAUGGGGGGGGGAGGUUUGAAACGGCACGUAGAGUAGUGGAGACUAGCCCCCCCCCCCGGACCCCUUUUGCUCUUCCCUGCUUUACCCCUAGUUCUGCCCCAAUUGAGAAUGAAUGAAAUCCUUUGAAUAGCAGCUCAUCCACAGUCCAUGUUCCUGGAUCACAAUGAUGUCAUGAUAAGAGAGGAAGUCUUUAAAACAAGGGUCUCUGAUGGAUGCAAACCACCCAGCCACAUUCCAGGUUAGAAGAGUGACCUUAUGCUGGUCAUGUUUCUGUAGGUAGGCAAUACUAGACCUAACUUAAUCUGUGUCUCUAAUAUAUAAAAUUUCACCCUUGCGCAGAGAACCAUGCAUGCUCAGCUGCACACACAUAUCUUCUGCAAACACAGAGCUCCCCAUUCAUUUUAACUAAACAUUCAUAAAUAAUUGUGCACUUUUGUCAGAGUCCUUCUUUCAGAUGGAGUAAAACAUUCCAGGUGUAGAGAUUUGAUUCAUUUACACAUUGGGACUCCUGCGUGCAAAAGAUUGCUUGACCAAAAUACAGUGCCGACACUAGACACUUUGCUACCUGAAGCAAAAUCCAAAUAGUGUCUCCUCCUCCCAGCUUACUAGGCCCAGGAAUAAUGUCACUGGACUCCCACUCCCAUCAUCCCUGACCAUUGGCCCUGUUGCCUGGGGUGAUGGGAGUCCAGCAAUAUCUGGAAGGCCAUGGGUGCCCCAUUCCCUACUUUAAGAAGUCUUGCUGCAUCAAAUCCCUGCCUUCAUCUAUUACCUCACUCAGCCCAGUGCAAAUUACGCCAUUCACCCUGCUUCAUAGCUGCAUUGUCCCAAUGACGUUUCUGAACUUAGCAAAUGUUUAGGCUCUUUAUUCAUUUAGGAUUUUUUUUUACCAUUCCUUAUUUCUGGAAUUUAUGCAGAAUUUAUGCGGGUGGCGAGGGGACGUGGGUGGCGCUGUGGUCCAAACCACAGAGCCUUGGGCUUGCCGAUCAGAAGGUUAGCGGUUCGAAUCCCCACGACGGGGUGAGCUCCCGUUGCUUGUCCCAGCUCCUGCCAACCUAGCAGUUCGAAAGCACGUCAAAGUGCAAGUACAGCCAUACCUCGGUUUGCAACCACCUCCGUUUGUGACUGCCGCAGACCCAGAAGUGUUUACAUCCGGGUUCCACGGGUCAUGGAUGUGCAGAAGCGAUCUGCGCAGUGAGCACAUGUGCAGAAACGAUCUGCACAGCAUGCGCGUGCACAGAACUGCUUUAUCAGUGCUUCGCACACGCGCAUAAGAGCCCCUUGGUUUACGAUGAACUCGGGAAGCGACCGGCUCCCUGAAACGAAUUGCGGUCACAAACCGAAGUAUGACUGUAGAUAAAUAUGUACCACACCGGCGGGAAGGUAAACGCCAUUUCCGUGCGCUGCUCUGGUUUCGCCAGAAGCGGCUUAGUCAUGCUGGCCACAUGACCCAGAAGCUGUCUCUGGACAAACGCCGGCUCCCUCGGCCUAUAGAGUGAGAUGAGUGCCGCAACCCCAGAGUCGUCUGCGACUGGACCUUACGGUCAGGGGUACCUUUACCUUUACCAUUUAUAUGUUGAGAAAGGAGGGUAGAAGUCUCUGCUUUGAAGGGUCCACAAUCCACCUGUAGGAAGGAACUGCAGACUAAAAAGUGUUAAACUACACGAACAGUCCUGAGAAAAUACCUAUCCUCUCCAUGCCCUUCCUCUACUGAAUCUCUUGGGCCUCAUCCCAGAAGAGCUACAUGGCUUCAUCCCAGAAUGUUAAUACGCACCAUAGGUUCAACAUCAUUCUCUCCUGCCAAUAAACUAAUCUUCAAAUUCCAGAACUUCCUCCUUCUUCCGAUUGUAUCCAGACUGGGGCAGUGUGGUUCACACUUCCAUGUACAGUAACUGAAUUCCACACUGCAAGUGUCACACCUUACAUUCAAGGAGUGGAGUGACAUCAUGGCUACUUUCCACUCCAGUUCAUUUGAAAUGUCUGGCAGUGUCGGGAAACUUUAGAGACGGACUAAAUGGCCUUGUGCCCUCCCUUUAGGUCAGGUGUGGGGAACCUUUGGGCCUCUCUUUUUCCAUUUAUUUUUUUAAUAUGAUGUUUAUUAAAUUUUGUUUUUUCCUUUAUAACAACCAAACAAAAUUUCUUCAUCACAUAUAUCUUUGCUCAAAUUGAGCUUUGACUUCCUCCCUGACUUCCAUAUGUAAUCACUUUUAUCUUUGCAUUUCUAAAUCACCCUAUUUACCUUAUCUCCAUACUUAAAAGACUUACUUCCAGUAUUUAUAAACAGGUACCAAAUCAUAACCUGACAAAAUAUUUUAAAUCACUCCUGCAAAUGUUUUCAAAUGUUUUCAAAUGAACCUAUGGGCCUCUCAUGCAGCCAGCGUGGUGUAGUGGUUAAGAGCGGUAGACUCGUAAUCUGGGGAACCGGGUCCGCGUCUCUGCUCCUCCACAUGCAGCUGCUGGGUGACCUUGGGCUAGUCACACUUCUCUGAAGUCUCUCAGCCUCACUCACCUCACAGAGUGUCUGUUGUGGGGGAGGAAGGGAAAGGAGAUUGUUAGCUGCUGUGAGACUCCAUAGGGUAGUGGAUAAAGCGGGGUAUCAAAUCCAAACUACUCUUCUUCUCCUCAAUGUUGCUGAAGUAGAACUCCCAUCAGCCCUAGUAAUCAUGGCCAACGGCCAGGGAUGAUGCAGGUAUAACAACACAGGUUGUCUUCAGCAACAUUUGCCAGGCUGCCACACCUGCUUUAGGUGGCAUGGGACAUUACUUCACUUCAAAAUGUGGUAAGCCAAGCCUGCUGCAUUUGGGGAGGAGGGCUCUCGCUCAGUUUGAUGAAUGGAACCACAGACUUCUGCCUCAAGGUCCUGUCCUGAUGGCACCACAGUGUGGCAUCCCUUCUAUCUGUAGCAACCAGGAUCCAGAGAACUUUGAAUGGAUUUCCACUAGCACAGUGAGGCUUCCCUCCCAGCUGCAGUCCCUUGUACCCCAUGGGGUACAAAUGACCCUCUGGAACAAGAAGGAUAUGGAACUGGGGGCUGGAGGGAGAAAAUGGACACCCCAUCUGUUAGGGAAAGUGUUUAUUGCUCAUGCAAGGCACUCUUUGUAUCCUAUUCACACUCAUUUUAUGCAGAACAAACAUUCAAAACUUGUAUAGGCGGAUCAAUAUUUGUUUUUUGGUGUCUUACAUUUGGGAACGGUAAACCUGCGGCUUUUGGAUGGACUCCAGCCUCCAUCACGGCCAACCUGCAGUGAAUUCCUAUGCAUGUUUCCUCAAAAGCAACUUAUGGUCUUCAAGGGGAGGGUGUUAGGCUGCUAUCUGAACCCCACUAACCUGAGAGGAAAUGCCGCUGAAUUUAACAGGACUCCCUUCUUGGUAGAUAUGGUUAAGAUUGCAGCCUCCGAGUUACAUUUUUAAAGACUGAAGACUACUGCCUUCUUGCAUGCUUUCCCCUUUAACUACUAUGUAAUUGUUGGGUUUCCCUUUCAGCUACACAACUGGAGAAAGGUUUCACAUGUUCAGAAAAUCAAACAAUAGCCGGAUCAGAUUACCACAUGAUAAAUAAAAUGAUUGUCAUCAAGUGUUCGGUUCUUGUUGGAAACCUUAUUUUUUUCUCACCAUUAGAUAGGACUGCUUUGCUUCUUUCCCCAUUUUUAUUGGCAAAGAAACGCAAAACACCUAAAUUCCUCUUUAAAAUGUGACGUUGUCUACUGCUGCCUAUCUAAAUCAUAAUUUGGAGGACCAGCAACAUAAUCCUAUGUGCGUCUACUCAGAGGUAAACCCCGUUAAGUGGUGCUUACUCUCAGGUAAGUAUGUAUAAGAUUGCAGCGCAGGUGCCCCACCUGCAAAAGCCCUAACCCUGUGGCAUUCUGGUCACAGAGCAGAACAGGAAGGCACCUUCACUGCGUAUGAAAAUGUGAGCAAGAGGCUAAAGUCAUGGAUGUAGAGCCACUUACUCUGUCCUGACCAGGCUGGCACCCAACGAGAAUAAAGCAAUGGGAAUAAUGUUCUCUAAACUAUUAUUAACCCUCACUGAGCAUGCUCCAAGUGCCAAGCUAUGCACUCAUUAAUGCUACUGCUUGGGCCCAUCCAUGCAGCAUUUUUGAAAAAUCAAGCCAGUAGCUUUUGAUCCCUCUGAAGUUAUGUAGAAAUUGUGUGUGUGUGUGUGUGUGUGAUGCAGAGUUUACAGCAAUUCCAUUUUUGAAGCACAGUUUGGUACGGAGUUGUAUUUCUUAAAGGUGUAACUAAACAGCGGAAAUGGAAAGGGACCAUGAGGGUCAUCUAGUCAAAUCUCCUGCAAUGCAGGUAUCUGAACCUGUCAAUUUCAAUUUUUCUGAGCUUCUUACUUUUCCCCGAUCUUAAAUUCAAUUCUCCACAUUUCCACACCAGUUUGCAUUUUUAAAAGAAAAAUAAAAAGCCCUCAUUUUGAUGAGUUCCCCACCACAGCUUCAAUCCGAGUUGAGAAAAAAAAGUGGCCUAGCUUCAUUUUAAGCCAGACUUAGUUAAACACCACCCAUGGGUGAUAAUUUUUUUAAUACUGCAUGCUAAAAAUAACAAUAAUUUAAAUGUGGACAAAUAUUUCUUAGCCAAUGUUGUAUGAGAUGAUUAUCUGCGCUCAGACCCAGCACAAGAGCAAAUCUUACAUUCAGUAAAAGGAAUUUUAACAUGCAGUUAAACUAGAAUUGCGGUCAGAGGUUGUGUUUGCUCUCUUGUAAAUGAUGGAUAUAUAAUGUGUAAAAAAAGAAAUCCAAGCAAGGUAAGGUGAAGGACUGUAAAUAAUAACAAAACCCCUAAAGACUAAUCACAGCUACCUGAAGAAAUUGCAUUUCUCUGGCUCAUCUUCUGCUUCUUACCUGAGUUUCCCUUUGAAUAUCAAAAAGCCACCAUAAAGAUGAUGUUCCUUCACAUACUCAUAUACUUCAAACGGCUUUCCAGGGAGAGAAAUGUUUUAGGCUCAGUUGCCAUAGUGAUGAGUCACUGCAUUUUCAGGGUCUUCUCUGUAAAUACAGAUGUAAUUUUCUCAUUGCCCUCUUGGCUUUGCAUUGUGAAGAGGUUUUCCUCCUCAUAGUCACUGAGCGUCUUUCCACCCAAUAGUUGGUCUCUAGGUUGAGUAGAAGAAUAAAGAAAGGUUACUUGAACUGUUGGUGACAGGUUUGGAACAACUCACUGAUUCUAGAAACAUGCUUGUUUUUCAGUUUGUCUAAAAGAUUUAUUUAUUUUUAGAAAAAAGCUGCAAUUAUGUACAGUAGACUCGUAAUCUGGUGAACUGGGUUUGCAUCCACACUCCUCCACAUGCAGCUGCUGGGUGACCUUGGGCUAGUCACACUUCUCUGAAGUCUCUCAGCCCCACUCACCUCACAGAGUGUUUGUUGUGGGGGAGGAAGGGAAAGGAGAUUGUUAGCCGCUUUGAGACUCCUUCAGGUAGUGAUAAAGCGGGAUAUCAAAUCCAAACUCUUCUUCUUCUUCUUCUUCUUCUUCUUCUUCUUCUUCUUCUUCUUCUUCUUCUCAGGAUUUUGUGUCCUGUUAAAAAUAAACCAACAACAAUGUAAAGAACACAGUGAGCACCACAAUCCUAAAUAUAAGAGGGCUGGGGAGAAAUAGUGAUUUGACUAAAAAUUGAUAAGAAAAAGGUUCUGUAAAAUACACAUAUUUUAUGUAUGUGGCAAAAGAUAAGCACGUCUAGGGGCUCCUUAACGACUAAACAAGUUGUUGUAGGUUUGGUGGAUUAGAUGUCAAAGAGUGAGCCGGCAGUAAAUCACACUGUUGAAAGUAGGAGUUAACUCUUUAUUAGCUUGUCUCAGUGUCAGACCAAAUGAGCACAGCAGUUCAUCCCUGGUAGGCCUUACCCCAUGAAUCAGUUGCCAAGACUGAAAGUCCCUGCCUUCCCACAACCAUCUAAGUCCCUUCCUCUCCACAGAGCUCUUUUCAAGCAAUUGGAGACUAUGCUUCCACAAAGUAUGUCACUGCUCUGCCUGUUUCAGCCCUCUUCUGGUUCUGGGGGACAGGGGGGGAGCUUGUCACACGGCAGAAGAGACACCAGUGACUUCACCAGCCUCAUCUGUGCCUCUUUGCCUCCCUCCUCCCACUCACCAGCUUCAGCUUUUGCACUUCUCUCUGCCACGGACUCUGCCAGAUCACUAAGUGCCUCUUCAGCUUCCGACCCCUCCUCUUCCCAGUCUUCUCCCUCUGACCCAAAAAGCAGCGAGAAUAUUAAUAGCUAAGAAUUGGAAGACACAAGAAUUACCAACCGUGGACGACUGGCAGGUGAAGAUGAUGGGUUUUAUGGAACUGGCCGAAUUGACCGGGAGACUG